rnacentral:rRNA from 1 species
AGAGUUUGAUCAUGGCUCAGGAUGAACGCUGGCGGUAUGCUUAACACAUGCAAGUCGAACGAAGCCCUUCGGGGUUGAGUGGCGGACGGGUGAGUAACGCGUGAGAAUCUGCCUUCAGGACUGGGACAACCACUGGAAACGGUGGCUAAUACCGGAUGAGCCGAGAGGUGAAAGAUUAAUUGCCUGAAGAUGAGCUCGCGUCUGAUUAGCUAGUUGGUGGGGUAAGAGCCUACCAAGGCGACGAUCAGUAGCUGGUCUGAGAGGAUGAUCAGCCACACUGGGACUGAGACACGGCCCAGACUCCUACGGGAGGCAGCAGUGGGGAAUUUUCCGCAAUGGGCGAAAGCCUGACGGAGCAAUACCGCGUGAGGGAGGAAGGCUCUUGGGUUGUAAACCUCUUUUCUCAGGGAAUAAGAAAGUGAAGGUACCUGAGGAAGAAGCAUCGGCUAACUCCGUGCCAGCAGCCGCGGUAAUACGGAGGAUGCAAGCGUUAUCCGGAAUGAUUGGGCGUAAAGCGUCCGCAGGUGGCUGUGUAAGUCUGCUGUCAAAGAAUUUGGCUUAACCAAAUCAAGGCAGUGGAAACUACAUGGCUAGAGUGCGUUCGGGG